UACGUAGGGUGCAGGCGUUAAUCGGAAUUACUGGGCGUAAAGCGUGCGCAGGCGGUUUUGUAAGUCUGUCGUGAAAUCCCCGGGCUCAACCUGGGAAUUGCGAUGGAGACUGCAAGGCUAGAAUCUGGCAGAGGGGGGUAGAAUUCCACGUGUAGCGGUGAAAUGCGUAGAGAUCGGAAGGAACGUCAAUGGCGAAGGCAGCCACCUGGCAUAAUACUGACGCUGAGGCGCGAAAGCGUGGGGAGCGAACAGG
rnacentral:rRNA from 1 species